rnacentral:rRNA from 1 species
GACGAACGCUGGCGGCGUGCUUAACACAUGCAAGUCGAACGGAAAGGCCCUGCUUUUGUGGGGAUCUCGAGUGGCGAACGCGUGAGUAACACGUGAGUAACCUGCCCUUCACUUUGGGAUGACUUCAGGAAACUGGGGCUAAUCCCAGAUAGGAGCUCCUGCUGCAUGGAGGGGAUUGGAUAGUCUCGGCGGUUGCGGAUGGACUGGCGGCUUAUGAGCUUGUUGGUGGGGUAGCGGCUUGCCCAGGCUGUGACGGAUCGCCGGCCUGAGAGGGUGAACGGCGACCAGGGGACUAAGAGAGGGACCAGAGGGCAACGGGAGGCAGUAGUCGGGAAUAUGGCACAACGGGCCGAAGCCGGAGGAAGAAACGCUCGGGUCGGGAUGACGGCCUUCGGGGUGUAAAACGCUUUAGCCUGUGACGAAGCGGGAGUGACGGUAAUGGAUAAAGAAGCACCGGCUAACUACGUG